rnacentral:rRNA from 1 species
GCAGUAGCCGCGGGAAAACGUAGGUGGCAAGCGUUGUCCGGAAUUAUUGGGCGUAAAGCGCGCGCAGGCGGAUAGGUCAGUCUGUCUUAAAAGUUCGGGGCUUAACCCCGUGAUGGGAUGGAAACUGCCAAUCUAGAGUAUCGGAGAGGAAAGUGGAAUUCCUAGUGUAGCGGUGAAAUGCGUUGAGAUCGGAAAGAACACCAACGGCGAAAGCACUCUGCUGGGCCGACACUGACACUGAGAGACGAAAGCUAGGGGAGCAAAUGGGAUUAGAUACCCCCGUAGUCCCUGUCUCUUAUACA